rnacentral:rRNA from 1 species
UACGGAGGGUCCAAGCGUUAUCCGGAUUUAUUGGGUUUAAAGGGUCCGUAGGCGGAAAGAUAAGUCAGUGGUGAAAGCCUGUGGCUCAACCAUAGAAUUGCCAUUGAAACUGUCUUUCUUGAGUACACAUGAUGUGGGCGGAAUGUGUCGUGUAGCGGUGAAAUGCUUAGAUAUGACACAGAACACCGAUUGCGAAGGCA